rnacentral:rRNA from 1 species
UGGGGAAUAUUGGACAAUGGGCGCAAGCCUGAUCCAGCCAUGCCGCGUGAGUGAUGAAGGCCCUAGGGUUGUAAAGCUCUUUCACCGGUGAAGAUAAUGACGGUAACCGGAGAAGAAGCCCCGGCGAACUUCGUGCCAGCAGCCGCGGUAAUACGAAGGGGGCUAGCGUUGUUCGGAGUUACUGGGCGUAAAGCGCACGUAGGCGGACUUUUAAGUCAGGGGUGAAAUCCCGGGGCUCAACCCCGGAACUGCCUUUGAUACUGGAAGUCUUGAGUAUGGUAGAGGUGAGUGGAAUUCCGAGUGUAGAGGUGAAAUUCGUAGAUAUUCGGAGGAACACCAGUGGCGAAGGCGGCUCACUGGACCAUUACUGACGCUGAGGUGCGAAAGCGUGGGGAGCAAACAGG